GCCUGGAAAAUACAAGUUGAUGAUGAUAC
rnacentral:piRNA from 1 species